UCCAGACUCCUACGGGAGGCAGCAGUGAGGAAUAUUGGUCAAUGGGCGGAAGCCUGAACCAGCCAAGUCGCGUGAGGGAAUAAGGCCCUACGGGUCGUAAACCUCUUUUGCCGGGGAGCAAGGGCGGGGACGUGUCCCGGCCCGGAGAGUACCCGGAGAAAAAGCAUCGGCUAACUACGUGCCAGCAGCCGCGGUCAUACGUAGGAUCCGAGCAUUAUCCGGAGUGACUGGGUGUAAAGAGUUGCGUAGGUGGCAUAGUAAGUAGCUAGUGAAAUCUGGUGGCUCAACCAUUCAGACUAUUAGCUAAACUGCUAAGCUCGAGACCGUUAGGGGUAACUGGAAUUUCUAGUGUAGGAGUGAAAUCCGUAGAUAUUAGAAGGAACACCGAUAGCGUAGGCAGGUUACUGGGACGGUUCUGACACUAAGGCACGAAAGCGUAGGGAGCAAACGGGAUUAGAUACCCUGGUAA
rnacentral:rRNA from 1 species